rnacentral:rRNA from 1 species
GAUUAACGCUGGCGGCGUGCAUAACACAUGCAAGUCGAACGAUGAAACUUAAAUGAUUUCUUCGGAAUGAACUUAAGUGGAUUAGUGGCGGACGGGUGAGUAACGCGUGAGUAACCUGCCUUACACAAGGGGAUAGCCGUUGGAAACGACGAAUAAUACCCUAUGAAACUAUCACUUCGCAUGAAGCGAUAGUAAAAGUGUUAGCGGUGUAAGAUGGACUUGCGUCUGAUUAGCUAGUUGGUGAGAAAAAAGCCCACCAAGGCAACGAUCAGUAGCCGGCUUGAGAGAGUGUACGGCCACAUUGGGACUGAGACACGGCCCAGACUCCUACGGGAGGCAGCAGUGGGGAAUUUUGCACAAUGGGGGAAACCCUGAUGCAGCGACGCCGCGUGAUUUAGAAGGCCUUCGGGUUGUAAAAAUCUUUUGUAUAGGAAGAAAAUGACAGUACUAUACGAAUAAGGUCCGGCUAAUUACGUG